UGACGAGCUUGACGAUGUCCUGGCGUGCGGUGGCUCCGGCGAGGACUUCUGGUGGCAGCAUGCAGUGGUUCCUAUCUUUCUUUCUCUCACUCUCUCUCUUUUUCACUUCUUCUUCUCUCUAACUUUUCUUAUUUCUUUUUGAUGCAGGUGGAGAAAACAAUGUGAAAAAUGAGGUAUUUAUAAACAAACAUUUUAGUCUUGAUGUAUUGCUUGGGCCUUAGCCGGCAAACGAGUUCCGAGAUCGAAAUUCGGGUCGUUACAAUUCUCCCCCACUUAUAAGGAAUUCGUCCCCGAAUUCAAGUCAUAAUCUGAUAUGUCCAAUGUCAUCAUAACAAAACCUCGAAUAAUAAUCCUUGCUCGGCUCAGGUCUCCUCUUAAAUCCUAUUCCUCCCAACGAACCUUGACCAACAUGGUCACUAGAUACAUGGUCACCACUUCCUAGACUGAUUUCACUUGCUGACCAAUAAAGAGAUAUGUUCCCAUAUAUUUUGGUUAAGCUUCUUUAGAUUCCGAGUCUUUGAUUCUUCUUGAAACAUCCUCCUUCAGAUUUAUUAGGUCGCCAACUUCAAAAUCCAAAUCCUUACGGCGCUUAUCCACGUAACUCUUUUGACGGUCAUGGGCUUCCUAACCUAAGCUUCGAGCAUUUCCAUUUGCUCUACCGUCUCUUGAAUCAUUGCUGAUUCCAUCUCACGUCUCUCCCCCACUUUGGUCCAACAAAGUGGUGUACGACUAGACCCACCAUAAAAACCUCGACGAUACCAUCAUAAUACUCAAAUGAUAACAUGUAUAUCGCGAUGAAUCUUGAUCGUUCCCAAGCUCUCCAUAACAACAAUCUGAAUCUGCUUAUAUUUCGGUUAGAAGAUCCCCCAAAAAAAAACUAAAACUUAACCAAACGCGAACUCACAAAACUAUGAAAAGCUCUUAAGUCAAAUAAGGUGUGAAGUAACUCACACCAACCACAACCAAUCAUACACGAGAUUCACUAAUCUCGAACUAUACAAGAUAACCACAAAACCACAAAUAUUAACACAAGCAAGUAUGUUAAGAACACAUACCCGCUAUCGGCUCAGCUCCAUGGGGAUCUCCAACCGCAAACGCACGUGGAGCGAUGGCUAGACGCUUCGGUGGUGGUGGAAGUGCCGCAUUGCCCCUCCUCGGGCAAUCUCUGAUGAAGUGACCUGGCUGACCACAGUCAAAGCAGACAUGUGCCGCUGCUGGUGCUGCUGGUGCUGCAAUCUGUCUGACUGGUGGCGCAACCUGAGCAUCAAAUAGCCUACUCUGACAAACCCUACUCUUAUGUCCCAUCUUUCCACAGUAAAAGCACUGUAUGCUCGGUUUGUCCCAUGUCCUCUGCUGUGCCUCUGAAGUCCCUCCAAACUUAGGCUGAACUGCCUUGGAGUACUUCUGCUCCUCUGCCAAACCUGCCUCCUGCUCGGCAGCCUUCUCCACCAAAUCUCCCAAUCUGUGAUAAGUGACGACACAGCACCUGUUGCGAAUCUCCACUCGCAUCCCAUUCAAAAAUUUCCUCAUCAGGUCUUCCUCUAAAAUGCCCUCUCUAGCAAAUCUGCGAAGUUGGUUAAACACAACCUCAUACUCCCUGAUAGACAUCUCACCCUGGCUUACAUGCUCGAACUCGCAUUUCUUCCUAUCCAUAGCUUCCUUCGGAAAGUAUUUCCUAUCGAACUCUCGGAUGAAGUCUGCGAAGGUAAGCCUCUCUGGCCCAAGGUGACUCAAUCGUAUUCCCUCCCACCAUAUAAGAGCAUCUCCACGAAGGUACUGCAUAGUCAAUCUGAGCGACAACUCUGGUGGACACUCAAUAAUCUCCAGCUUCCGCUGCAAGGCUAACUUCCAAUCAUGUGCAGCUACAGCAUCCACUGUCCCACUAAAAUGCUCCAUAUCCAUGUUCCUCAUCUGACGCGUCAGCCUGUAGAACCUCUCAUCAUAAACCGGGUAAACAUGAGGUCGCGGUGGUGGUGGUGGUGGUAGAUCCUGAACACCAUGAGCAAACUGCUGAGCUGGUCCGUGCUGCAGUGGAACCUGAGGAAGGGGAACCUGCUGAACGGGAUCCUCAUGAUCAUGCUGAUCCUGCUGAACCUGAACCGGUGGAACUUGCUGAACCCGAAUCUGUGGACCCUGCUGCACCUGAACCUGAGGACCCUGUUGAACGGCAGCCAUCUGACGAGCAACCUCCUGAGCAGCUACUCGGGCAGCCUCCUGAGCGGCCUGCCUGGCUGCCUCCUGGGCAAUCUGCUGAAGUGCCUCCAGAGCGGCCUGUCUAGCGGCAUCCUGAAUCAUCUGUCUCAAUGCAUCCUGAUCAACUGGUGGAGCCGCGGGUGGCGGAACUGCGGGCUGCUCAUGCUCAUCUACAUCGUCUCUAACAGCUCUGGUGGUCUGGGCACGGGUGGUUCUUCUCCUUGGCGGCAUCUGAAAGGAAAGCGAAAUGUUAACUUACGCUCAACUUUUGAUACCAACAUUUAAGGAGAAGUGAUAUCGAACGGAAAGGUGCUAUUUAUUUUCAUUUUAAAAAUUCCCAAAUCCCAGAAAAUAUUUUGAAAUCAUCUAAAACCGUCAAAACCGAAUAAAACCGAAUAAAACCAGGUCUCCAAAAAUCGCCAUCCCGGGUCGGAGCCGGGACAGAACCCCGCUCUGAUACCAAAACUGUGACGCCCGUCACUUUCGAAAUAAUAAUAAAAAUGAUGCGAUAAAUAAUAGUUUCUGAAAUCUCUAUUUAUAAAUAUAAAAGUCAACAUCCACGCUGGAAAUCCAUAAUAUAAAAUAACAUCCGAAAUAUAGAUAACGGUAUAAGUCUGAAAUAGGAAAUAACAUAAACGAUAAAAGCCAAAGGCCUAAAAGCCCGAUAACGAUAAAAGCGAUAGAAGCCCAAAAGCCCAAUAGCACCGGUCCGAUAAUCACUCCUGCUCGUCGGUCUCACCUGAAAGGGGGAAAGAAGGAGGGGUGAGCAACAGGGGAGUUGCCCAGCGAGGUAUGGGAUGCUAAACCGCAAACCACAGACUGAGUUCAUAGCACUACUAAAAUGUAGACAUAGCUCUAGCAUGAAACAAACACGGUGCCUAUUACACCCCACAGAACAAUCAAUAUGCGGCUAGAGGACUAGCCGUUACAACUCAUGCGCUUAUAGUACAUAGCUACUCUAUGCACCACGCAUCUCCUCAUAAGGAUAUAUACAUAUACUCGAAGCGUCGCUAGUACAGUCUGUCUCUGUACCCCCGCCCAUCGUAGCGUCAAAUGCAAACGUCUCUGCACCACGCCCCAAACAGUAGCGUCGAAGCUCAAACGUCUCUGAACUCACGCCCAUACCAUACCGUAGCGUCGAAGCUCAUACAUCUCUGAACUCACGCCCUCAUCACAUAAUCCCUACUCAUAACUAUGUAUAUACAUAUAUAUAGCAGUUCUUAGCAUCAAUCAUUUCACACAAUCGUUGAAUCCUCUAUUAUCCUAAUUCCGGUUAACAAUCAAUAUCAAUAAUGAACAAGCAAGACUCUCAAACAGACUCGAUUCACAGAGACGGAUCAUGUUUCGAAACUAAACUUUCCAUAAUGGUAGUACUAAACUAGCUCGGGAUUUAACGGAGUAGCCCUCACCUUAGCAAUAGGGAAAUGUGGUAUCUAUGAACUCCAGAUGCUCAAAUAGACUCCAAAUCUGAAAUCAGGGCGAAAAAUCGAGUCAUAACGCCUUUCGAACGGUUUAAAACGGGUCUGGUCAAGGUUUAUGGAAAAGUCAAUUCGAUGGUCAAAGGUCAAUCCGGUCAACUCUUGACCAGAAAUCAAUUUGUCCUAACCGACCGGUUUACCCUAACCGAAACGAAAUCAAUUUAAACCGGUCAAACCAGUCAAACCAGCGGUUAACCGAGUCAACCGAGUUGACUCACCGGGUCGACUCAGCCGAGUUGGCGAGUCGUCGGCGAGUCACCGGCGACGGUCACCGACGGCGACGGCGAUGGCUUACCGGUGGUGACGGCGGAAGACGGCGGCGACAGAAGGCGGAGCACGGCAACAGCGACGGCGUUCCGGUGGUGGUGAGGCGGUGGUCUGGCGGCGGAGACGAUUUCCGGCGGCGGCGCGUGUAACUCACGCGCGCACAGAGGCGAAACUUCCGGAAGCUCUAGCGGCUUCGUCCGGACUCCGAUUGCGGCGUUGUCGGUGGCUACGGCUUCGUCUCGACGAGAGGAACACGAUGGUGGCUCUGCAUGCGCGAGAUUCUCAACGGUUAAGAAGAUAUGGCCGAUAUACUGAACGGACGAAAACAAAGCUUAAGAGGCGGCGGUUUCCGACGAUACUCAGCUGCGGUUGAUGGUGAUGACGAGCUUGACGAUGUCCUGGCGUGCGGUGGCUCCGGCGAGGACUCCUGGUGGCAGCAUGCAGUGGUUCCUAUCUUUCUUUCUCUCACUCUCUCUCUCUUUCACUUCUUCUUCUCUCUAACUUUUCUGAUUUCUUUUUGAUGCAGGUGGAGAAAACAAUGUGAAAAAUGAGGUAUUUAUAAACAAACAUUUUAGUCUUGAUGUAUU
rnacentral:lncRNA from 1 species